UUGUAGGUCAUGUGCUUCAGAUUUCGUUAGUUCUAGAAACUGAUGUUGAAAAUUUGUAAUUUUGAGGUUUGUAUUGCUGAUUUCAAUAGUUUAGAAACUGGUGGCGUGUUUGUGCUGGUUCGACAAAGCCAGAAAGCGGGGGCGACGGCUAGGGUUUCGAUUAGUGCUCUCGGUCCGAUGUUCUUCACGAUAGAGAUCCACUCGAUAUGGGGAUAUACCAGCAGCAGCUACCGCGGAGGAUAUUAAUAUUGCUGUGAAAGCAGCACGCAGAGCUUUUAAAUGUGAUGAAGGAAAAGAAUGGGCAUCAGCUUCUGGGGCUCAUCGUGCAAAGUAUCUUCGUGCCAUUGCUGCAAAGGUUACUGAGAAAAAGGAUAAGUUCACUAAGCUUGAAGCCAUUGAUUGUGUAAAACCACUUGAUGAAGUAGCCCCAUCGUACAGCCAUAUAAUCCUAUAUUUUCCAGCCCUAAGCCACCGAUUGCACAUACCUUAGUUUUCUUUUACAUAUAGAUAAUUUUUUAACUAUUUAAAAAUGAAGGAGGGAGACUUUUAAUCACAUUGCUAGCUGGUUAGAGUGUGAUAUACUUAUCGCCUUUUGUGUUCAUUUAGUGCAAUGUGGGUCGCUUAGGUGGGUUGGGUAAUAGGUCAAGACUCAAAACGAUUCCAGAUUACCACCUUUAUUUGUGAUUUAGUUAUCUGAUAUUUCGCUUACAACGGAAUUGGGAAUAGAUAAAUCUAUCUUUAUUAAUCUGGUUGUGACUUGUGAGAUCUGAUUUGGUCCUGUUCAGCAGGUUGGGUAAUGGGUUCACGUUGAAACGGGUUAUAUUUCAGUAUGGGUAGAA